rfam:Beta vulgaris subsp. vulgaris Bvchr5.sca001.con0022.1, whole genome shotgun sequence.
UCACUUACCUGGGCGGGGUCAAUGGACCAUCAAGAAAGUCCAUGGCCUAGGAUAGUGGCUUCCAUUGCACUUUGUGAGGUGCGCUAGCCUAAGAUCUCCCCAAUGUGGGAGAGUCUACGUCAUAAUUUGUGUUAGUGAGGGCCUGCGUUCGCGCGGCCCUUG